rnacentral:tRNA from 6 species
CUAGAAAAACAGGAAU